GGCGGACCUGCCCUGCACUCCCGCCGUAUAAGCUAAAACAUCAAAGGGGUGGUAACGGCGAGAAAAUAAUGGAGGCAUACCGUGGCUCAGCCCAGGGACGAGCAGCGACGCACUACGGCAGUCCCACUCGAUCUUCUUCGCGCGGUGAUAACGCGGUGCCCUCCCAACGCUGUAAGCACAGGGAACACCCCCUGCGUCCAGCGCGAACUUGCCGAUCUCCCUAGCCCGAUGCCGAGGUCCGGUGACGCGCGUCACGGACAAGCUCCAUCGUCAUCUCUGACCGACAGUGAAACUCUCUCUCUCUCUCUCUUUCUCGGUUCUCUCUUUCCUGGAUGCUUAGUGGGGGCGCUUGGCUUUGCCCGAGGUGGCCGACGGGCACCGAGUGGAUGGGGUGGCUGCGGUGCCC
rnacentral:lncRNA from 1 species